GCUUGCUGUCCGUCAGCAGCCUCCCUUACAAUCUUUUUUUCUCUCUCUCCCUUUUUUUCUUGCCUUCUCCUUCUUCACUGAAGCCUAGGGGAGCCAGCAAAGAUUAAAUGUGCUUUCUCAAAGGCAGCCACUUCAUGCUGCUAUGUCGAAAGGGCCAUUAUUAUUAUUAUUUUUAAUAGUAAAAGAAAACGGGAGAGAGAGGCUGAGACAGAGAGAAGCAAGGUAGGCUGAUGACGGACUAGCUUUUCUGGGAGGAAAAGGAAAGUGAGGGAGAAAGGAGAAACCCUGAACUGAACCGGACGAUCGUGCCUGAGAAGAACCUCCAGAGCAUAAACUACAGAGUCACAGUCUCUAGAUUUGGUGUAGCGCUUCCUGCCCCCGCCUCCCCUCCCCGCCCCGUGGUCGGUCCUCUAUUGAAACACCUCGCCCAGGCUAGCGCACUGCGAGCUCGCAUUUCCCCCCCUUGCUCGGAAUGGUGUCACGGGAGGCUGCAGCCCCGCUCCGCUUCCAAAGGUUGUGUUGACGUUCCUUUCAGCUGGUCCUCUAGCCCCCCUCCUCAGGAAGGUCUCCCCAGUGAAAGGAUGUAAACGGCACUGGACACAGCUAUACUGGGGGAUGCUCAAGUCAACUAUGAAGUUGAAACAAAGGAAAUGAUCACCUGAAGACACCUCUUCUGCUAAGCAUCACCCCCAAAGGAUGCAGUUUCAGGCAAUAGAGCUCCCAGAAUACGAGGCAAUCUUUUCAAGAAACAGAAAAAACUUCCCAGUGACAUCUAGAUUUCUAAAGAGCCAAGGACUUCCCCUUCCUCAUGUGUAUUCCUCUGUUUGUAUUUUACUUCAGUGGGACACUCAUUUCUAAAAUAUCUGCCUGGUAUGGAUAUGCUUAUUAAUGCACCAAUUUUUAAAAUAGAAAAUUGAACAAAUGUGUUCAUGUUUUAAGGAACAAAAUUAAUGCUAUAAGUAGGUUGAUUUCUAGCCCACACACGGUUUGAUCUGAAGAGUGACUUAAAGGAAUAUAAAGUACUUUUGAAAUAACAAGGUAGUCAGAGGCAACCCAAAGGCUAAAAUAACGGUGGAAACUCAUAAAGCAGCUGAAAAAUACCACCGUAUCCCACCUGACACCAACCAAUUAACUAUUCUUUUAAUCAAGCAAGAUAGGUUCCGAAGACAUGGUCAUUGCUUCUAAAGAGUGUAAAUCCAGUUCUACAGGGAUACAUAAACUUUUGAAAAGAUCGUAACAAAUCAGGUCUAUAGAUGUUAAGAACACAACAAAACAAAAUAUAUAAAGAAAGAGCUUGGAGGAAGUCACCAUUAUCUGGCAAAACUAGUCUGUUUAGGGAACAGAGUUCCCAAAGGAGGAAAAUAAAAGAUGAAUCUUAAAGAAUGCUGAAGAUUUA
rnacentral:lncRNA from 1 species